rnacentral:rRNA from 1 species
GACGAACGCUGGCGGCGUGCUUAACACAUGCAAGUCGAGCGGAAAGGCCCUUCGGUGUACUCGAGCGGCGAACGGGUGAGUAAGACGUGAGUAAGCGGCCCCCGACUUUGGGAUAACCCUCGGAAACGGGGGCUAAGACCGGAAACGACACAGCUAUGCUGGGGCGCAUUGUGGAAAGGUUUUACGUGUGGGUUGGGUUCGCGGCCGAUGAGCUUGUUCGUGGGUUGAUGGGAUACCACGUCGACGACGGGUAGGCCGCCUGAGAGGGGGACCGGCCACACUGGUCCUGCGACACGGCGCAGUCUCCUACGGUAGGCAGCAGUGGGGAAUAUUGCGCAAUGGGCGCACGCCUGAUGCGGCGAUGCCGCGUGAGGGAUGACGGCCUUCGGGUUGUAAACCUCUUUCAACGGGGACGAAGCGUAAGUGACGGUACCUGCAGAAGAAGCGCCGGCCAACUACGUG